rnacentral:rRNA from 1 species
AACUUGCCCAAGAGAUCGGGAUAACACCUGGAAACAGAUGCUAAUACCGGAUAACAACAGAUGAUGCCUAUCAACUGUUUAAAAGAUGGUUCUGCUAUCACUCUUGGAUGGACCUGCGGUGCAUUAGCUAGUUGGUAGGGUAACGGCCUACCAAGGCGAUGAUGCAUAGCCGAGUUGAGAGACUGAUCGGCCACAUUGGGACUGAGACACGGCCCAAACUCCUACGGGAGGCAGCAGGC